AUGCCCUCAAAAUCCCUCAAAAAAGUCUAUCUUCUCCACGUCUCUUACUCUCCCAGUAAAAAACAAUCGUGCGCCAUAGUCUCUCCUCCUCCCCACGGUCUCCUCCUCACGUUCUCUCCUCCCCAUGGUCUCCUCCUCCCCAGAGUAAGGAAAUCAAUCAUAUCUCUCAAAUUGGAGCAAGGAAAUUAGGAAAUUGAUCUGGUGCGCUCACGCCAUGGAAUCUCUCCUCCUCCUCCCAUGGAAAAAACAAACAAGUCUCUCUCAAAUUGGAGCAACCAAGUUGGGGAAUAGAUCAGGUUUGCUGACGUACGCUCUUUGGGCACUUCGUGGAGAUCGCGACGGGGCAGAACCAAGCCCAUGUCGCCAUCUUAUAAAUUAACUGCAGCCUGAAACAAACUAUCUACACAUAAAGGAGGCUCCUGUCGGUCGUGAACAUCGUCGCUGGUGAACCUUCUCCUGUUUGGUCAACUCCUUUUGUUUACCCUCAAAACAAUGGCACACGAUAUGCUCCAUGAGAUUAGCAAUCAGAAGGAUUCCUGGAAAGUCAAGGUCAGAAUAAUUAGGCUAUGGGAUGCCAUUAAUCUCAGCAACAAUGAACUUAUUAGCCUUGACAUGAUACUACUUGAUGAAGAGGGUACUAUGAUACAUGGCAAGGUAAUGAAGCAUAUGGUUAACAAGUUCAGACCAUUGAUCCAAGAAGGUUUAGUCUACAUGAUAGCAAAUUUUAAGGUUAUGUCUGCAAUGAAUUUCUGUCCAGUUGAAAGCGAAAAGGUUCUAAAUUUCUUGCACACGACAAAAAUUCAAGAGAUAAAAGGUCAAAAAAAUAUCAAAAUAGCAGAACAAAGCUUCACGUUUUGUACUGUUGAAGUUCUUUCCACAAGAGACAGCCAAACGAUUUACUUAUCUGGUAUGAUUAUAUUUGUUUCAAUUAUUAACUUCCAUGUAUUAUGCAUAUUAAUACCACUUUAUUAGCAGAUGUCAUUGGCAUAGCAAGUUACAUAGGACAUAUUGAAGAAACACAGACAACCCACGGGAUUUCAAAGAUUCGAGAUAUUGUGCUUCGAAUUGAUUGAGUACACUAAAAACAAUUAGACAAGUACAAUUAUCGUGGGUGCUAAUAGGUAUUUCUCUUGGAAUAUACAGGGAUCAAAAAAUUAAUAUUAGACUAUGGGGUAAUAAGGUUAGUCAAAUUGAUGAAGAUUCUUUGGGGCGUGUGGUCAUAGUAACAUCAACUACUGUUAGAAAACUGAAAGAGUACUCGCUGUCAUCUACAUGUGCGACAAGAGUUUAUAUCGAUUUGGAUAUCCCUAAAACAAAUGUGCUUCAAACGAGGUAUUGCUUGCAAGAUGAUAUGGUAGAAGAAAUAGAGCCGGAAGCCCACUUGCAAGGCACAAUUCAAGAACAGAUGCUCUAUAACAGAAGAACCCUAAAAGAAAUAACUGAAAUUACAUAUGAAUCUGAAAAAUAGGAAAAGUUCUAUACUGCAGAAGCAAUGAUUAAGUCAAUUAAUACAUCAGAUGAGUGGUACUACAUAGGAUGCCGCAAAUGCAACAAAAAGGUACAGAAACAAGGGAACCACUUCUACUAUCCGAAAUGUCAAAAAGAACCUGAAAAGAUAUGUCCAAGGUACAAACUGAAACUAGAGAUAUGUGAUCUCAGUGCAACAACAACUUGCACCAUGUUUGAGGCAGAAGCAAAAAAAUUGAUUAAGCAAUCUGCAAGUUUUUUGAUAGAGAGGGAUGAUUGUGAUAUCCAUGAACAGACAAAACAAAUCCAGAAAAUAUGUGGGCAGAGAUUGAUUUUUCAAUUCAGAUUGAAUGACUAUAAUUUGAAGUACGGUUAUCAAGAAUACACUGUUCAUAGAAUCUUUUUCAUAGAUUCUGAAAAAGAUACAUCAGUACAUCAUUCAAAUAUUGAGCAGAUGGAGGAUGAUAAACCCAUUCUAUCAGACACUAAAAAGACUAGGAGGACUAGGAACACACGUCAUGUUGUACAUUCUGAUGAAGAAUCAGAAAAUAUGAAUAGUCAAGAGAAAGAUGAACCCAUAUCUGUUGUUGAUAAGAAAUCUAAGAAAAAGGGAAUUCAAAAAGAUAGCCAUGAGCAAGCGGACAAGUUAUCAGUUAUGAAAACUAUAAAGCAAGAACCAGAGGAUGAUGAACCCACUAUUAACCGGACUAAAAGGGGUAGGAGAAGUAGCACAACUCAUGUCGUACACCUUGACGAAGAACCAAAAACUGAAGGUAGUCAGGAAAUAAUGAAAUCAAAAUCCAUGGAAGCAGGCCCCAAGAGGAAACGCGCCGUAACUCGCAAAUGUGCUGGUAUUGAUAGCAAACAAGUAAACAAUCACCAUGAAGAAGAAUCAAAACAGGCAGGUACUCAGGAGCACAAUGAUUCAAGGCCUAGGACAAGGCGUAGUUGUGCCAAUAAAGAAUUGAUGAACAAAGACAUUCAGAAGUGUGGUGUAUCAAGAACUCAAAAGUCAAAUCGUUGAUUAGUGGAAAUCCAGUUAUUUAGCAUGUAAUAGAACAUAUAGGAUCAUCAGAUUUGUACUUUAUAUGAACAUCAUUGUUUAAGAUUGGUUUUAAUAAAUGUAAAUGCGUACCUUCAUGUUAGUAAAGUCAUUAGCACAUGGGAUGGUACAUCAGUUACAAAAAAACAUUGUCAUUUAUCGUACACACAUUAGCGAUUUUCACAUGUUCAUCCGCUACAGAAUAGGCCUCUCGACGACAUACAAAUUUUCACAUGUUGAGACACUACAGAAAAAGCAUAUGACAGCCAAACAAUCAACAAUGUGCACAUCAUCAUCUGUUCUCGCCAAGAGCCCAUUGUGCGUGGAACUAACGACCACUGAAACUGAAGUGCACCACUUAGUAAUCUGCAUUGCCAAUCAAUAG
rnacentral:rRNA from 1 species